CUGGAGGUAUCAGAAGUGCGAAUGCUGACAUAAGUAACGAUAAAGCGGGUGAAAAGCCCGCUCGCCGGAAGACCAAGGGUUCCUGUCCAACGUUAAUCGGGGCAGGGUGAGUCGACCCCUAAGGCGAGGCCGAAAGGCGUAGUCGAUGGGAAACGGGUUAAUAUUCCCGUACUUGGUGUUACUGCGAAGGGGGGACGGAGAAGGCUAUGUUGGCCGGGCGACGGUUGUCCCGGUUUAAGCGUGUAGGUGUGUGUUCCAGGUAAAUCCGGUUCACUUUAACACUGAGGCGUGACGACGAGGCACUACGGUGCUGAAGCAACAAAUGCCCUGCUUCCAGGAAAAGCCUCUAAGCAUCAGGUAACAUCAAAUCGUACCCCAAACCGACACAGGUGGUCAGGUAGAGAAUACCAAGGCGCUUGAGAGAACUCGGGUGAAGGAACUAGGCAAAAUGGUGCCGUAACUUCGG
rnacentral:rRNA from 1 species